GACGAACGCUGGCGGCGUGCCUAAUACAUGCAAGUCGAGCGAAUGGAUUAAGAGCUUGCUCUUAUGAAGUUAGCGGCGGACGGGUGAGUAACACGUGGGUAACCUGCCCAUAAGACUGGGAUAACUCCGGGAAACCGGGGCUAAUACCGGAUAACAUUUUGAACCGCAUGGUUCGAAAUUGAAAGGCGGCUUCGGCUGUCACUUAUGGAUGGACCCGCGUCGCAUUAGCUAGUUGGUGAGGUAACGGCUCACCAAGGCAACGAUGCGUAGCCGACCUGAGAGGGUGAUCGGCCAAACUGGGACUGAGACACGGCCCAGACUCCUACGGGAGGCAGCAGUAGGGAAUCUUCCGCAAUGGACGAAAGUCUGACGGAGCAACGCCGCGUGAGUGAUGAAGGCUUUCGGGUCGUAAAACUCUGUUGUUAGGGAAGAACAAGCGCUAGUUGAAUAAGCUGGCACCUUGACGGUACCUAACCAGAAAGCCACGGCUAACUACGUGCCAGCCGCCGCAGUAA
rnacentral:rRNA from 1 species